UGUGUGCCACCACGCCCGGCUAAUUUUCUGUAUUUUUAGUAGAGAUGGAGUUCCACCAUGUUGGGUAGGCUGGUCUUGAACUCUCAACCUCAGGUGAUCUGCCUGCCUCAACCUCCCAAAGUGCUGGGAUUACAGGCGUAAACCACUGCACCCGGCCCCUAUGCUACUUUUUAAAAAUAUUUUUAUAUUUCCAUAAUAGUCAUUUAAUUUAUAUGUCAGCAUUUUCCCAUUUUUGUGAUAGCAAUCUGACUCCAGGUAUAUAUUAAGCAACAUGGUUUAUAAGUGACUUUCUAUGUAGCAUUAAGGGCAAAAUAAACAAACAUGUCUGAAGCUCUCAAACAAUUCUUAGCACAGAAAAGCAGUGAAAGAACAUGAAUGUUGGGAAGGCAAAAAGCAAUUCCCCUUAUUCUGCAGGUCCAGGUCAUUUUCUCUCCUCUACAACUAAUACAACCUUUCCUGGUAGGGAUUGGCAGUAAUAACUCAGUUGAGUCAUACUGUUGCUAUAUGUGGUGAGGGAAUUUUCCAGUGCUGUUAACCAAUUUAUCAUUGCUGUUAGAACCUUAAACACUCCAGCUCAUGCAAGUCUCUAAGAGACAGAGGGAGUUAAAAUAGCCGAUAGAGUCUCUAAAAUGUUUUUUUUUUAAUUUAUUUAUAGAGACAGGGUCUUGCUGUGUUGCCCAGGCUGAUCUUGAACUCCUGGGCUCAAGUGAUCCUCCCACCUUGGCCUCCCGAAGUGUUGGGAUUACAGGCGUGAGCCACGACCUCCGGCCCGAAUGUGCAUCUGCAAUCAAAGACAUCAUCUGGAUGCUUACCAUAGUUGAGAUGACAAACGGAAAAAAUGGUAGAGAGAGGAGAGAAGUAAGAGAGAAUAUUACUCCUGCCAAAGCAAGCCCACUUCUUCAGAAAUAACAAGUGAAGCCAGCAUAGAAACCUAAACUAUCAGUGACAUCUACUCAAGUCUUGGCAAAUACAGAAAAGGCCCCCAAAACAUCAAGAGAGGAAUUAUCACCAGGGGCUGCUGAGGAGAACUUACACCAUAAAGAAAAAGGAAAAUGCAUUCAAUCGAGCCCAACUCAUUUGAACACCUUGAUACUGAACACUGUAACAGGCAUGGGAAAAACGAUGAGCAAGAUGUGAUCACCACUCUCAAGAUAACCUCAGUCUAAUUAAAAUGGGGCUCCAGGAACUGCACUUGAAAGCCCCAGAGUAUUGGGAGGCCGAGGUGGGUGGGUCACGAGGUCAGGAGUUCAAGAUCAGCCUGGCCAAGAUGGUGAAACCCCAUCUCUAUUAAAA
ensembl:lncRNA novel transcript, antisense to SMIM14